CUCUCGCCGCAUAUGGCCGAGCCGAGCGUGGCCAGCCAUGAGAGCGACGGCAGCCGGUGGAGAGGGCUAGGCCAUGCGUGGCCAGCCAGGAGAGUCGGUAGCCGCCGCUUAGGCCGGGGACGUCAGAUGGGGUGCGGCUGCCGGCGCCGUGUACGCGCCGACCUCGUCUCGUCGUGGAUGGGUGGCCGCCGGCCGAAGGCCGUCGCCGUCGGAUAGGGCCCCGCCACCGCCACUGGGUGGCAACCGCAGGAGGGCAAGCGUCGGGCGAGGGCCGCCGCCGCCUCGGCUGGGUGCCACCGCCUGAGAGUGAGGAGGCGUUGCGGCCGGGCGAGGGAGCGCUGUCGGCCAUGCGCCCCGAUGGAGCGCCGGCGGGAAGAUCGAGCCGGCCACCUUUAUGGAGAGGCAGCGCCGACGCCAAAUCUGGGUGGGGCCAUGGGGAACCGCCGCCAGAUCUGGGUGUGGCCAUGGGGAACCACCGCCUCGGAGAAGAAAAUGGCACCCGCCGGAGGGGGGCCGAGCGACCGGUAGGCGCUGGGGAAAGUUGUUGCCGACGACACGGUGACGGAGGAUGGCUGGGGUCGCACGACGAACCCGCCGAUGUCUACACCGUCGGUAUGUGCGUUCCGUUCGUGAUGGAUUCUCCUAGCGGCUACUGUAGAACUAGUUGUUACAUCCAAAUCUUAGGAAAGAAAAUAGACGCUUUUAAAAACAUACCACGGUAUCAAAUAAGACCAUCUCGUAACCAUGAUGAUCUCGAAGAUCUAUGAGAAUAAUACCUGCAGCUAUGCAGAAUACUUGCAAGCACAACAUUUUAUCCUCAGACUCUAUUCCCUCCUUUACCUUCAGUUCUACUCCGAACUGAACCGGAUCAAAAAAAAUACAACUGUGCGAGACGUCUGAACCGGAUCAAUAAGCACAACUGCGUGAGAUGUGCCUUGUCAAAGGCGCUGACUGUGGGGAUGGACAAGGCAUUUCCAUCAAUUGAUAAGAUGAGAGAUUCUAUGACAGCUUCAGCCCCGAUAUCUAUGUACAACGUAGCCCCGACAUCCACAAGAUCAGAUCUCAUCUUUCAAUGAUCGAGUUUCUCAACUCUUGAACCAGUUUAUUUCACCCCAAGUCCAUGGCUUAUAGAUCUUCAUCUGUAGCUUCGCUCCAUGGUAGCUCACGCCACCAAAACAUUGCUUGCCCAAACCAGUGUACGGUAGCUCUCUAUGUGGAUAGUGGAAAUAGCAGCAGACAACCAUCUCAUUGGGAUGGAGUGUACGGUGGUUUUGAGCUGAGGAUCUGGUUUUGAAAUUUAGUGUUACUUUGUGCAUACUGAGUUAUAG